rnacentral:rRNA from 1 species
GACGAACGCUGGCGGCGUGCCUAAUACAUGCAAGUAGAACGCUGAAGGAGGAGCUUGCUUCUCUGGAUGAGUUGCGAACGGGUGAGUAACGCGUAGGUAACCUGCCUGGUAGCGGGGGAUAACUAUUGGAAACGAUAGCUAAUACCGCAUAAUAGUAGAUGUUGCAUGACAUUUGCUUAAAAGGUGCAAUUGCAUCACUACCAGAUGGACCUGCGUUGUAUUAGCUAGUUGGUGGGGUAACGGCUCACCAAGGCGACGAUACAUAGCCGACCUGAGAGGGUGAUCGGCCAAACUGGGAAUGAGAAACGGCCCAGACUCCUACGGGAGGCAGCAGUAGGGAAUCUUCGGCAAUGGACGGAAGUCUGACCGAGCAACGCCGCGUGAGUGAAGAAGGGUUUCGGAUCGUAAAGCUCUGUUGUAAGAGAAGAAAGAGUGUGAGAGUGGAAAGUUCACACUGUGACGGUAUCUUAACAGAAAGGGACGGCUAACUACGUG